CGCCGCGAGAGAGCCGGAGUCCGAGGGCGCGGGAGAGGCGAGGAGGGCGAGGGUGCCUCCCCAGCCUCGAAUGGCGGCGUGCCCCACGGCGCCAACCUCUUGCGCGUCUCGGGGGAAGUCAGCCCCCUAGGCUGGAUGCCGCGCUGACGCCUGAGGCUGACUAAUUCCAUGAUGGCUCUCGGCAGCUUACAAAUAAGAAAUUAAAAGGAAACAAAACAUAACAAGAAAAAGAAAACAACUGAUCAGAAGACAGAACUGGAAAGACCAAACAGCAAAAAAACAAAAACAAAACAAAACCAAAGGGGCUCAACUAGCAUCCUAACCCAAGGCCUGGGAGAACAAUCAGAUGAGGAGUUGCUGAGGCUUCCCAGUAGAUGAAGGAUCUCUCUGCAAACCUGAAUGAGACACUCAACAGAUUUUGGAGGUGACAGUCCUCCAGUUAAGGGCAUGAAAGAAGAGGACAAGGAAAGACACAAGGAUCAUGUUUUUUCCUCUUAGCUUUCUGCCUUUCUGUAGCUGCUUGGAGGCAUCUCACCAGAUGGCAAAUAAGAGAAUACCUCCUCACAAAUAUCAGUCAACAUUCCUUUGCAACAUCAUCUAUGAUGGGUAUUCUUCAUGCCCUUCCACUGCUCAUUCAAUAGAAAAAGUACAAUAUUCCACCAAAAUCAAACAACAUUGAAGCCCUCCCUUUUUUUGCUUUGUUCCCAUCUAGUUUUGUCAUUUCUGCCAUCUUUAUUCUUUUUUUGUUUUUAUUGUUUCCUUGUUUUUAAGUGUUUUUAACAAU